rnacentral:miRNA from 1 species
AGUGUGUGUUUGUGUGUGUGUGCAUGUGCAUGUGUGUGUGUAAUGUAAGUAAAUGCCAAAAUACAAACUGAUGUGAAUGUACACA